rnacentral:lncRNA from 1 species
UGUCGCCUGCUAAAUGCGUCGUCGUAUUCCGUUCAUUUUCACGAAGAAGACAUCUAAGUCGACAUUAAAGAGGAUGAACAACUCCUACAAGUUGUACGGAGGUUGUAUGCAAAAUGUUUGUGCAGUGAGCGUUACAGCGUGUUGUCCUUCAAAGAGUCAGUAGACGAAUUGUAUCAAGAAUAGCUUCAAAUAGUACAGUUGCUCUAAAGAAAGAGUUGAAGUACAAUACAUGACGCAGGAGAAAAAUCUAUAGCAAUCAAGCGAAGUAAAAUCAUUUUCCGAGUUCAAAAAGAGCAGCAGACGAUAAAUCGAGACAUCAGCUGCAGGAGAAAUGGCGAAAAUGAAGCCGAAUAAGAAAUUUGCACAUAAAAUAAUUUUGUCAAAUACGAUGGUUAAAACGAUUAUAUAAUGCUACUGCACGCCACCGAAGAAAAGGAAAAAAAUAAGAAGGAAAAAUUAUAAACGUAAGAAAAUGAAGGUCGAACGACCACUUGGAUUAUCCAUCGUUGACACCACAUGACAAAG